rnacentral:piRNA from 1 species
UGUGGAACCUCAUGGUUGGUGCGAAGCCC